CUCAAUUCCCCACUUACUACUACACACACCAUUCCACUUUGUCCUCUUCUCCACGGGGAACUCCCUUUCUCUCAUUCCCAUUUUUCUUCAAAUCUCCAAUUGAAGGCGACCCCUCCCAUUUCUCAUCGGCGAAAUCGCCGUUCCAAUCGGUCGUCGGAGCUCCGCCGGCGCCAACCGUGCCUCGGCUCUCUUCUCUAUUUCUCCCUCAACUCUAUUCACAUCACAUUUUUCCCAAAUUAGAAACCCUUAAUUUGAGAAGAAGCAGCGGUGCUUCGUUCCAUACCUCGCCUUCUUCUCCGGUGAAUUCACGCCACCGUGAAUGUCUCGCUGGAACUCUACCAGCGGUUCGCGCCUCUCUCUGGUCACUGAACACCGUCGCCAGCAGCAUUCGCCCCCCCUCUCUCUCGGCUUUCCCCACACGCCGCUCUUCCCGGCGCUCGUAGCACCACUGCCGGAAUCCAGUAGAGGCCGUUGCUGCUUCACGAGACUUCGUCUGUUGCUGUUGUUCGGCGAGACCCUCAGCCUAAGUUAAGUCAUUUCUCUUCUUUCUCAUUACUUGAGUGUUCUUAACUUGAUCGAAGCAUGUGGUGUGAAUAGGCUCAAUUGUGGUAUUUAUUUCACUGGAAUUGGUCUUUGGCUAUGGUAUUAAAGUUCUGACUUUUCCUUUGGGAGCAUUUAGCUCACUGCAAUGAGUCCCUACUUUUAUACGUGAAUUCUGUGGAAGGACUUUGAUGGGUUUGCUACUGUUCCAUACUUGAUGUGAGGAUCCUAUGGGAAAUUCUAAGUUCUUGUGUUAUCUAAUUGUUCUAUAUGAUGCAAAAGGGUGGUGUUGGUGAUUACCUCACUCGGUGAAUCCUCCCGGUUUGCCCUCUUGCUGCCUCCACCUCGCGCCGCCGCUCCUCACCCCGUCGCACUUCUUGCCUUGUGAAAAUAUAAGGUAACACGGACAAGGAGGAGCGGGAAUCUAGGAUUUUGAUGUCAAGGCUCGUUGGACUUGAGAUUAGAGGAUCAGACCUAGCUCUUUUGUUGUACAGCUGCUCAGCCAGGUCACUAGUCAGUCUUUUGAGUUCGAGUAAUUCUUGGAUAUGUUAGUUGUGGCAUGUAUAGAAAGUGUAAUGUAGUUUGGACGUUUCAUUUACUUCGCUAUCUAGGUUGUAUAAAUAUAUAUAAACUUUUGGGAAACAAGUUUAUGGUCCAAUUUCAGAUGUUAUAUAGCAGUUUUUUCGUUUGCCAAGUAAAUGAAAAUUAUAUAUCUCUAUAUAUAUAAAAAAAAGAAAAAUAAUCAAGGAUUUUCUGUUAAGUAGAGAUUGGUACUGAAAGGUGACAUCACUUAUUCGAUUAUGAAAUUAAUCGGGUAAGGGGUGUUACAUGUUUUGGUAUCAGAGCCUAGGUUUAGGCGGUUCUAGGCUUGAGACGUGUUAGGAUGUGUCUAGAAACAUGCCAUAUAGGAUUUUGAUUUGAGUCAUUGCUAGUGACCUGGUGUGUGUAUGUUUUCCUGAUGUGUACAUGUUUUCUGGCUUCAAGACUUGACAGUCUUUAGUUUCUGAGUGAUACGGAAAACCUUUCUGUAUAAGGUUCGAAAUGGUGAAUUGAGGUUGAAUAGACCGAUGAUCCUGUAGUCAUUUGGCCGGCUAUUAAAAAAAAGCUUGCAUCUUCUGCCCUUUAAAUUGGCUCUUCAACUUAUAAUAUAUACGAUGUCAGCCGCGUCGUGUUCUUGCUUUCUGUCUUCCUCAAGUUUGGCUUGCCCUCGCUUUCUGAGUAGAACUUUCUCAACAACACCACAAAAAAGUCCACUUUGGUUGCCCACUGAGCUGAUCAUCCAUCAAAACUAGGCUUUAAAGCUCCUUUAACUGAUAUAGUGUAGUAAUAUGAAUAUGCCAAAUGAGAGUUAUCCUUCGUGAUCUCUUCCUUUGAGAAUUGUUGUUUGGGACCCUCCAACGUGUUUGUCUUUUUGUUGACCCUAUAAGAUAAUUGAAGGAAGUGAUUUUUCCUGCUAGUACUAUUACCUUGGAGAAAUGAUCUUCUUUGAUUAAUUCCUAACAAUUGCAUCCUUCCAGGUCAUCUAAACAUUAAGUGUUUACUUAUCUACCACCACUGUGUCAUUAUUUUCUAUACCGAGUCUGGAGCUACUUGUAGUUUAUGUGAAACCUGAUUCUGACCCUUGAAACUUGGAAUACUUUUGGUUGAACCUUCUGUCCUUCGUGAUUUAUUGUCUCUAAUGACAAUAAUCCUUUACUUGUGUGCUUUUGCCACUAAAUUUUGUUGUUGAAAUUGUUCGAGCUUAUGUCUUUUAUAUUGACAAAGCCUCUUUGAUAGUUGUUUUUAAGAGAUGACACAUUAAACAUAAUAUCUUUGGUUGACCCCUUCUAUAUUAAUUAUUGGCGUUCUUUUCUGCUGAAAUUACACUGAUUCCUUUGCCUAACCCUAUUGUUUAAAUUGUCUUCUAUCUCGAGACCUUUCUGCAACUUGAGAUUUGAGUUGAUGUUUUACCUUUGUCUCCAAUAACUCUGCUUCAAUCAUCAUCUCUAUGAGUUGUUUUUCUUUGAACUAUCUUCGAAAUAUAUGGACCCAACUAACGAUAUGAUUCGUAUGUUCCUAUUGUUUCUUAACCAUGAUAUUUGUUAACUUAAGACCAGAUGUGGCUCAGAGAAUAUGCAGUCAUUGUUCUAUUGAAAUUUUUGCCAUCUCAAUCGUGUUUUUCUGACCUUUGAUUAUUGACAAUUUGCUUAUGUCCUACGGAUGCUUAAAUUGUUCUGAAAGGUAAUAAAUAUCUAAUUAUGGAGCAAAGUUUUCAUGUGACUGAGAAAGUAGUUAAGUGGAACUGGCCACUCCAUGUAACUCGAAUCUCAAUAGCGUCUUCCUUCGACAAACCGAUGGGUUUUAACUUUGAAGUCAUUUCAUUGGACUUAUUGUCAUUUCAUUCUUACCAUCGGUUACCUUUUCCAAGCUUGUUCGGUAAUUAUUUGAUGAAAUCUUUUGAUCAGUCACUCUACUUCAAUGUAUGAAAUGGAUCAUCUAUUUUCUCAUCAUUGUUGUUUCCUGUUGAUUUUCCAUUCCAUGGAAUUUGUGGAUCAACUCUUCCAAUUGGUAUCUUCAUGUCUUGAUCCGAAAUAUCUUUUUGUGAUAUCAUAUUCGUUAAACAUCUGAGAUGGUCAAUCUCUGAAUUUUCUUUUGAAGAACAAGUUUAACCACUUAUUAUUCACUUGAUGCAUCCAAUAAGUUAAUGAUCCAUUUUUGCCUCAAUAAUUUCCUAAAUCAUGUGAACCGUAUUAACCAAUCUCUGUGUCAAUCUCUGUCUCCUGUCAUCUAAUAUUUCUCGUACAUCUGCACUAGAAAGUCAUGCCUUAAUGGAUUUCUUUGUAUCUGAGUUUGGAUCACCUUGUCCAGGAUCUUCUGAUUUGGCUUACUAGGAGGCAAUAUGUGUCUCCAUACCUAUUUCUUCCGUAAUGUGUAACCUUCUAUAAUUCGAUACUGUUCUGUACCCUUGCAUAUUGGAGUUGGUGAUAUUUUUGACCAUCUAAUGUUAGUUUCUGCUACCAGAACUUCUAUCAAAGAUAAAUUGAUUGUCUUGUCGGUAAGUUUCUUAUGAUCCUUUCUGAAUAAUCCACUCGAGAUAUCGAGGUAUUUUCUAAACACUCUCUCUGGUGAAUAGUGUGUCUAUGUCUGCAUUUGAACCGGAUGUCUUAUGGCUCUUAUAUUACAACAUUGCUUUUGGUGAAGUACGGUUUGCAUUUCUUUGUCAUUGAACAAUCCAAUCUCAUUGGCAAUCUUAGCGAUUCCUUUCCCAAAUUUAUAUCACGUGUUAUCUUCGAAUCCAUCAUUUACUUUAUAUAAAGUUCUCUUUUCUUUCUUUAUUGAGUACGAGUUGUUCGAUCGGAAAUGGAACUGACUUAAGAUUUUCCUACACUUGUUAUGUUAUGAAAGUUCUUGAGGUUCAUUCGAAUCUGAGUUGUAAUAAACCUAUAAUUUGUGCUUACUGAGACUAAUCCUUGAGCCUACGAUGAUCGGAUCUGAGAUUAUCUUGCAAAUCUAAUUGUUGGUGAAAGAUAGUGAUUUGUGACAAACUGAAGAUUUAAAACUCUUGAGUUCAUGUUGGUUUGGUUACUAUGAUUUAAUAUCUUUGAACUACUAUGAUAGUGAUUGGCUUACAGAAACAUCACUACAUGCUUAUGUGACCAUUUGGGAUUCUGCUAUCUAACGCUGAUGAGAUUUGAGGAAAAAAAAAAUCCAUAUAAAUGCCAAUUGUUCUAUUGUCUUUAGUGUGGUGGGCUUGGCUAAGACUAAUUUUUGCAUGAAUUGGGUAUAAAAUUUUCUUUGAAAGAAUAUGAUAUGAAAGCAAUAUUCCGUCUCUUCGAUUCGGGUAUCAAUUUCGAGGACGAAAUUUCCUAAGGGGGGAGAGUUGUAACGACCCGAAAUUUCUUAAUUUUGAAAAUCACCAAUAGAAAUCGAUAGUCUAAAUUAGAGGUCUCGGUGAGUAAAAAUUUAUGUGUCGGAUUAGUAGGAAAUAAAUUGAUUAGAAAUAUGUUUAUAUUAAUUUUUUAAUACAAUGUUCGAGUUAUGAGGUGUAGGAUUCUAGAAAUAAAAUAGAAAAAAAGGGGAAUUGGAAAAUGGAUUGAGAUUUUUAUCUCAAUUCCCCACUUACGGGAACCUUCUACACACAUCAUUCCACUUUGUCCUCUUCUCCACGGGGAACUCCCUUUCUCUCAUUCCCAUUUUUCUUCAAAUCUCCAAUUGAAUCAAAGGCGGCCCCUCCCAUUUCUCAUCGGCGAAAUCGCCGUUCCAAUCGGUCGUCGGAGCUCCGCCGGCACCAACCGUGCCUCGACUCUCUUCUCUAUUUCUCCCUCAACUCUAUUCACAUCAUAUUUUUCCCAAAUUAGAAACCCUUAAAUUGAGAAGAAGCAGCGGUGCUUCGUUCCAUACCUCGCCUUCUUCUUCGGCUAAUUCACGCCACCGUGAAUGUCUCGCUGGUAGUCUACCAGCGGUUCGCGCCUCUCUCUGGUCACUGAACACCGUCGCCAGCAGCAUUUGCCCCCCCUCUCUCUCGGCUUUCCCCACACGCCGCUCUUCCCGGCGCUCGUAGCACCACUGCCGGAAUCCAGUAGAGGCCGUUGCUGCUUCGCGAGACUUCGUCUGUUGCUGUUGUUCGGCGAGACCCUCAGCCUAAGUUAAGUCCUUUCUCUUCUUUCUCAUUACUUGAGUGUUCUUAACUUGAUCGAAGCAUGUGGUGUGAACAGGCUCAAUUGUGGUAUUUAUUUCACUGGAAUUGGUCUUUGGCUAUGGUAUUAAAGUUCUGACUUUUCUUUUGGGAGCAUUUAGCUCACUGCAAUGAGUCCCUACUUUUAUACGUGAAUUCUGUGGAAGGACUUUGAUAGGUUUGCUACUGUUCCAUACUUGAUGUGAGGAUCCUAUGGGAAAUUCUAAGUUCUUGUGUUAUCUAAUUGUUCUAUAUGAUACAAAAGGGUGGUGUUGGUGAUUACCUCAUUCGGUGAAUCCUCCCGGUUUGCCCUCUUGCUGCCUCCACCUCGCGCCGCCGCUCCUCACCCCGUCGCACUUCUUGCCUUGUGAAAAUAUAAGGUAACACGGACAAGGAGGAGCGGGAAUCUAGGAUUUUGAUGUUAAGGCUCGUUGGACUUGAGGUAGUAUAUUCUACAUUAGGUCUUAAUUCCUGAAUUAAGUUUACGCGAUUGCAUAUAGAAUAUUGUGCGUUAAUCGGUGAUACUUUAUGUGAUCUAUAUAUUUUGCUUCUGACGUGAAAUAUAUUGAAUAUUGGAUAUGUGAUGAUAUUGAUUGAAUUGGAAUUUAUUUGUUUAUUCGAUAUGAUAUGGUGUGAAAAGAAGUAGUUGAUCUGAUAUGUUAAAGAUUAUUCAAAAUAAGUAAUUUGAUGAGAAAAUGAAUAUAAAUGUGGCUGUAAAGUUAAUGAGAUAAAUGUGGAAGUGAGCAUUAAGGUAAAUGAGAUAAAUGAUAUAUGCCUAUGAAAUGUAUACUUAUAUGAUUUACAUGUGAAGAUGUCAGAUCGAUCUGUGAUGACGUCUGAUAUGUCUGUAUGGAUUUGUUAUGUUGGAAAUUGUUGAUAAUAAAGUAUACUUGUCUGUGCUUAUGCCCCGUGCUUGAGUGUGUUCUGUGAGUACAAUUGGCAUGCCAUAGGACAGCAGCGCUGCAUUAUAUGUGAUCACUCGUCUUCUGGAUAACCGAAGCGAGGAUCAUCUGAUAUCUGAUGGGCCUCUAUCUGAUCUGUAUGAUAUACACCCUAUGGGUGGUCUGAUUAUCUGUCUGCACCAUAAUGGGUGGUCUGUGCGGCGUCCUCUCAAGGACCAUGGCCGCGUCUAUAUCUGAUUCUGUUUCUGAUCUGGUCCGCGUACCCUAGUUUGGCACUAAGCACUUAAUGGGGCUAUAUGUGUUCCGAUAUGUGAGAACAAUGGUGAUUGUUAUAUGUGUUAUGAUAUGUGAUUGUGUGAAACCUCUGUUAUAACUCUGAUGUAUCUGGUACAUGAAAGCAGAUUUUGUUAUAUGUGUUUGGAUAACUGAAAGCUAUAUUCUUAUGUGAAAAAUGAUAUUAUAUGAUGCUAAUUGAUAUAUUCUGAUGCUAAUGAUCCUCUGAUGCAAAAAAGGUGAAUCUGACAUUGUUUGAUAUGAUUUGACGUUGUAUGAAGUUAUGAUGUUGCUCGACACUAGCAAUUGAUAAAUUGAUCAUGUUUAUUGGUAUAUUAUGAGAUUAUAUGACUAUACCUUCAGUAAGUCCCAAGAAAUCAAAGGAGUAAAGGUCAAACUUUUAUUGUUGGUUAUUUUGAUAUGUAUAUGGCUAUGAGAAUGUUGGCGAUCUGUAAGCGCGUUGGUGUAUAAAUAAUAUUGUGACAUUCUGUGGUUAACUCGAUAAUUGGUGAUGUGAACUUUCCUUUGUGUUCUACCUGAUUAAUUUAUGAAUUUAUAUGUGAUUAUGAAUCUGGUAAAUUCCAUGAGAUCAAGGAAUGGUGACCUAAACUUAUGAUUAUGAUGUUGGGGGUUUCUAAUAUUAGAUAUAUGUAAAUGGAUAUGAUGAGGUAAGCUUUGGAGUGAUUUCUAGAUUAAUAAAAAUGAAAAUGCAUAGGUUGCAUAACGUUUACUUAACCCGGAAAUUAGGCUCUAAUGUUGAGUAUACUACUGGGCUUGUUGAAGCUCACCCCUUUCUUUUUCCCCUAUGCAGAUUAGAGGAUCAGACCUAGCUCUUUUGUUGUACAGCUGCUCAGCCAGGUCACUAGUCAGUCUUUUGAGUUCGAGUAAUUCUUGGAUAUGUUAGUUGUGGCAUGUAUAGAAAGUGUAAUGUAGUUUGGACGUUUCAUUUACUUCGCUAUCUAGGUUGUAUAAAUAUAUCUAAACUUUUGGGAAACAAGUUUAUGGUCCAA